rnacentral:rRNA from 1 species
CCAAACAGCUAGCCCCACCACACAAAAUAAAACCACCACUAUAAAUACCCCCAAACACACGACCUAAACAACCAACUAAACCAUUCUACCCCCUCAGUACGGGAGACGGAAAAGGAACCUGGAGCUAUAGAAAAAGUACCGCAAGGGAACGCUGAAAAAGAAAUGAAACAACCCAGUAAAGUUAAAAAAAGCAGAGACUAAAACUCGUACCUUUUGCAUCAUGAUUUAGCCAGAAACCCCCAAGCAAAGAGCACUAUAGUUUGACACCCCGAAACUAAGUGAGCUACUCCAAGACAGCCUAUUUUGGGCCAACCCGUCUCUGUGGCAAAAGAGUGGGACGAGCUUCGAGUAGAGGUGACAGACCUACCGAACUUAGUUAUAGCUGGUUGCCUAGAAAAUGAAUAUAAGUUCAGCCUCCCGGCUUCUCCACUCCCACAGUCCUUAAUCCCUUAGACACCUAAAGAAACCGAGAGAGUUAGUCAAAGGAGGUACAGCCCCUUUGAAACAAGACACAACUUUACGAGAUGGGUAAAGAUCAUAAUGCCCCAAGGAUAAGUGUUUUAGUGGGCCUAAAAGCAGCCACCUAAACAGAAAGCGUUAAAGCUCAAACAUAAUAACCCCCCUAUAAUCCUGAUAACCCAAUCUUAUCCCCCUCCCACCAACUAGGCUUUUCCAUGCAAGCAUGGAAGCAAUAAUGCUAAUAUGAGUAAUAAGAGAGGGACACCUCUCUCCUCGCACGCACAUACAUCGGAACGGACAACCCACCGAACAUUAACCGGCCCCAAACAAAGAGGGUAAUGAGCAACCAACGAACAACCAGAAAACCGCCCAAAAAUAACCGUUAAGCCCACACUGGCGUGCUCACAAGGAAAGACCCAAAGAAAAAGAAGGAACUCGGCAAACACCCCAGGCCUCGCCUGUUUACCAAAAACAUCGCCUCUUGUAAACCAAAAAUAAGAGGUCCCGCCUGCCCAGUGACAAUAAGUUUAACGGCCGCGGUAUUUUGACCGUGCAAAGGUAGCGCAAUCACUUGUCUUUUAAAUGAAGACCCGUAUGAAUGGCACAACGAGGGCCUAACUGUCUCCUUUUUCAAGUCAAUGAAAUUGAUCUCCCCGUGCAGAAGCGGGAAUAAGAACAUAAGACGAGAAGACCCUAUGGAGCUUUAGACACCAAAACAGACUUUGUUAAACACCCCCAAACACGAGACAAAACCAAAAAGACCCUGUUCUGAUGUCUUUGGUUGGGGCGACCGCGGGGAAUACAAAUCCCCCAUGUGGAUUGGGAGACCCUCUCCUACAGCCAAGAGCUACAGCUCUAAGCAAUAGAACUUCUAACCUAAAGAUCCGGCAAAGCCGAUCAACGAACCGAGUUACCCUAGGGAUAACAGCGCAAUCCCCUUCUAGAGCCCAUAUCGACAAGGGGGUUUACGACCUCGAUGUUGGAUCAGGACAUCCUAAUGGUGCAGCCGCUAUUAAGGGUUCGUUUGUUCAACGAUUAAAGUCCUACGUGAUCUGAGUUCAGACCGGAGCAAUCCAGGUCAGUUUCUAUCUAUGAAAUGUUUUUUUCUAGUACGAAAGGACCGAAAAAAAGAGGCCCCUGCUCAAAGCACGCCUCACCCUUACCUAAUGAAAACAACUAAAUUAGACAAAAGGACAUAAACCUCAAGCCGAACAUAACGGC